GCCUGGGUGGCUCAGUCGGUUGAGCAUCCGACUCUGGCUCGGGUCACGAUCUCGUGGUUCGUGGGUUUGAGCCCCACGUCGGGCU